rnacentral:hammerhead_ribozyme from 1 species
GGCCGAAACAUCAGGCAUGAGCCUGGUGUCUGCCGGAGAUGGUCUCCCGGCACUGAUGAUGGCAGACUAGA